CUCUAAUUGCUUGUGGGAAGCAAGCCGGGCGCGGAGAAGGAAGAGCCGAGGCGCCCGCUCGCUUGUGCUUUGAAGCAACUGCUGGGAAGUCACCUGGCUGGCGCGCUCCAAGCUCCUCCCCUUUUCCCCCCGGGAGGCGAAGAAGGCAGCGUGUGCUCCAGAGGCGAAGGGCUUGCAAAGGAGCGCGAGCGAGCGAGCGAAGGCGCGCGCCUCCGCGGCCGCCGAGUUGGCGAAGAUGCGCGAGGCGUCAUGAAUCCAUUCAUGAACUCUCCUCCAGCGCGGGAAGAGUUGCAAAGCCCGGCGUUCCCUCCAAAGACAAAAAAUAAGCCUCCUCUCCCUUUUUCUUUUCAUCUCUUUUCUUCUUCUUCUUGUGGCUCUGGUCACUGGGGCUGAUUAAUGAAUCAUGAGGCGGCGGCUGCUGCUGCUGCUAAUGCAUUUAUCUGGGGCAGACCGCGCUGCAGCCUCCCGCCUCAACCGCGUGAAGUCGUGAGGGAAGAAGGCGAGCCGUCAGGAGUCAGGGCUCCUUUUCAGGGCGAUCCCGUCGUCGGCGACAGGACCCUCGCUCUCCAUGGCGCCCGGGGAGGUUUUAUCACAUGCAAAAAGAAGCAUUACUCCAUGGAACAAUGUUUUGAGUCCCUCCUGUCAUAUUACAGUUGCUGGAGUCCUUGUUCAUUAUUUCCAAUAUUCCUGAUGACACCUGCUCUAUAAAUCCAGGUAAGUGUAUUUCUAUUCUUACAUGCACUUUAUUUUCAUUGUGGCAUAAAAGUUAAUGAGAAAACAAGAAUUAAAAGGCUAAAAAAGUAAAUUAAUAUCACAUUCAAUUAUAUCUGUCCAGCUGUAGAAAGGUUGAGAAUAGAAUGGCUCUCCUGCCA
rnacentral:lncRNA from 11 species